CAUUCCCAAACCGUUGGUCCAAUCAUGAAAAUAAUGUGAUGAUGAGAGAGAUAAAGUUAUACAGAAGAUCUGUUUAGUAGCAGUUGAGCUGGCAUGUGUGCAUCUUUAAAACUGAUAAAAUAAACGGUGUAGGAGGAGAUGUGUUUUCUUGAGACCACGUUUGAGGCGAAAUCUUACUUUGAAAGGUCAAAUAGCUCACUUCCUGUUGGAAUCAGGUCAUGGGUGUCAAUGCGUGAUUUGUGAGUCAAACACACCAGUUUUGGUUUGAUCUUGAUACGACAUUC